UCAGGAGUGAAUUUGAGAGGAUAGCUGCCCAGCAUGAUUAUACACAAAGAGCCAGAAAGACAUGGGACAAAUGGAGAGAGUAUGUUUCACAUCGUAGAUGCAAGGCAGUAAAGAAGAGCAGAGCUGAUCUCUAUCAUCACAGAAAACAGAUGAGAAAGGUCUUUACUGCGUGGAAGCGACACUGUCAACAGAUGCAUGGUGUCUAUCAAGUUGUAGCAGUCAAGGAGGCAGCUGUUAAUCUUAGGAGGCUCAGGCAUGCAUUUUCUGACUGGAGGGUUUGUGUAGAGACAGCCAAAGAGGAGAGAUCACUGAAGAGGAUAGCAGUCCAUCAUUGGAAUACAAGGAUACUC